rnacentral:rRNA from 1 species
CCGGACGGCCAUAGGGGCGUGGUUCACCCGAUCCCGUUUCGAUCUCGGAAGUUAAACGCGUCUCCGUACUGGGGUAGUACUGCAUUAGCGUGCGGGAAUCCCGGUAAGCUGUCCACU